AGGGGUGAAAGGCCAAUCAAACUUCGUGAUAGCUGGUUCUCUCCGAAAUGCAUUUAGGUGCAGCGUUGCGUGUUUCUUGCCGGAGGUAGAGCUACUGGAUGGCCGAUGGGCCCUACAAGGUUACUGACGUCAGCCAAACUCCGAAUGCCGGUAAGUGAGAGCGCAGCAGUGAGACUGUGGGGGAUAAGCUUCAUAGUCGAGAGGGAAACAACCCAGACCACCAUCUAAGGUCCCUAAGCGCGUGCUAAGUGGGAAAGGAUGUGGGAAGGCCAAAACAACCAGGAGGUUGGC
rnacentral:rRNA from 13 species